rnacentral:rRNA from 1 species
GAUCCUGGCUCAGGAUGAACGCUGGCGGCGUGCCUAAUACAUGCAAGUAGAACGCUGAAGGAAGGAGCUUGCUCUUUCCGGAUGACGUUGCGAACGGGUGAGUAACGCGUAGGUAACCUGCCUGGUAGCGGGGGAUAACUAUUGGAAACGAUAGCUAAUACCGCAUAACAGUAGAUAUUGCAUGAUAUUUGCUUGAAAGGGGCAAUUGCUCCACUACCAGAUGGACCUGCGUUGUA